rnacentral:rRNA from 1 species
CAGUAGCCGCGGUAAUACCGAGGGUGCAAGCGUUAAUCGGAAUUACUGGGCGUAAAGCGUGCGUAGGUGGUGGUUUAAGUCCGUUGUGAAAGCCCUGGGCUCAACCUGGGAAUUGCAGUGGAUACUGGGUCACUAGAGUGUGGUAGAGGAUAGUGGAAUUUCCGGUGUAGCAGUGAAAUGCGUAGAGAUCGGAAGGAACAUCUGUGGCGAAGGCGACUAUCUGGGCCAACACUGACACUGAGGCACGAAAGCGUGGGGAGCAAACAGGAUUAGAUACCCGCGUAGUCCCUGUCUCUUAUAC